rnacentral:rRNA from 1 species
UGGGGAAUUUUGGACAAUGGGCGAAAGCCUGAUCCAGCAAUGCCGCGUGUGUGAAGAAGGCCUUCGGGUUGUAAAGCACUUUUGUCCGGAAAGAAAUCCUUGGCUCUAAUACAGUCGGGGGAUGACGGUACCGGAAGAAUAAGCACCGGCUAACUACGUGCCAGCAGCCGCGGUAAUACGUAGGGUGCAAGCGUUAAUCGGAAUUACUGGGCGUAAAGCGUGCGCAGGCGGUUUGCUAAGACCGAUGUGAAAUCCCCGGGCUCAACCUGGGAACUGCAUUGGUGACUGGCAGGCUAGAGUAUGGCAGAGGGGGGUAGAAUUCCACGUGUAGCAGUGAAAUGCGUAGAGAUGUGGAGGAAUACCGAUGGCGAAGGCAGCCCCCUGGGCCAAUACUGACGCUCAUGCACGAAAAGCGUGGGGGAGCAAAACAGGAUUAGAUACCCUGGUAGUCCACGCCCUAAAACGAUGUCAACUAGUUGUUGGGGAUUCAUUUCCUUAGUAACGUAGCUAACGCGUGAAGUUGACCGCCUGGGGAGUACGGUCGCAAAGAUUAAAAACUCAAAUGAAUUGACGGGGUCAUAGCUG